ACGCUCGACACCUACGGGAGGCAGCAGUUGGGAAUAUUGGACAAUGGAGGAAACUCUGAUCCAGUGACGCCGCGUGAAGGAAGAAGGUCUUCGGAUUGUAAACUUAUUUUGUCAGGGAAGAAAAAAUGACUGUACCUGAAGAAAAAGCACCGGCUAACUACGUGCCAGCAGCAGCGGUAAUCUGAGCGGGCUGGCAAGGC
rnacentral:rRNA from 1 species